rnacentral:lncRNA from 14 species
CUCAGACUUUGAAAUCAGCCAAUAGGCCCAAAAUUGCUAGAGGGACAGACUGACUGGUUGCAUAAGCUUCCUUUCCAUGGGAAAAUGCUCCAGAAGAAUACAUGGUCAGAUCAACUGUGUGCAUGUUGCUAACUACACUCUGAGUAAGCCAAUUUACCUCAGCCAGUCUGGUCCUGUCAACAAAAUGUAACUACUAAUACAGGAGUUGUGCCAGUAAAGCCUAAGUAGCUCUGAUAACAUUGUGCAUGGAAAAGAAAGGAUAAGACAAAGUCAACUAAAAGAAUUUAAAGCUGGGAAAGUUCUGAGACUGAAGUGAAGUCUGGGUACAAUCGGGAGACCUGCGCUCAGCUGAGCUCUUCCAUUUCUGCAGCAGAAGUACCCCUGCGCUCACAAAGGCUCCCACCAAGAGGAGAGACUGUUGGGGACUGACCGCUCAUCCUGAAGAGAAAGCCCUUAUCAAAAAGCAGUCAUCAUCUUAAUUGCUGCCUCUGUCUGUUGGCAACAGAGAAGAAAUCAGAGCUACUUCUGAGUUUGUGAGCUUGCACAGACGGGGCCAACGUACUGCAGAGGCAAUGCCAGCGGAUGUUGUGCUAGGAAUAAAUUGGACUCUAUAGCUUGAAUAGAUGCCAAGGAGCAAGUUUGAUCUCCAAAACAGCAGCUAACAGACCAUGAAGAGAAGUUGGCAGGAAAAGGCAGCAAUCAGCUGUCAAGAGCUGCUACACAUCCGGAUGAGGAGCUCCGGGCCAGGUACUGCAUUCUCGCACCAUGUGCAAGCUGCAAAUGGACAACUACAACUCUUCUGAAUUCACCUGUGAGGCUUCCAGAAAAAGCUAGGCACAGACAAUAGCAUUCAAACUGCAGAGCAGCAUAAGAGCUGCAGCACACAGGAGCAGACAGGCUUUCUCCUGCUUGAACAAGCUGGUUCAUCAUUUCUGCUCCAGUAAAUGUCACUUGAAACUCUUCGAGAUUCACUAAGGGAAGGGUCAUCCAGAGAAAGAUUUGGGCAGGACCAUCAGUGGUUCCAACAGGACUGCUGGACACCAGUGGGACCUGCACCUGACCAGUCUGAGGGGCAUGUUGAGUCUGUAAGGUAUGUUCCCCAAGUUGUGCAUGUCCACAGCACAGUCUUAGGAAGCCAAGAGAGAAAUACAGGUGUCCUGCUUAUGCAGUUUAACUGAAACCAUGGGAACAGACUUGGAUCUGACUAUACAAAAUCUCAAAGAAUAACUGUAACUGGGAAGCCAUCCUCAGUGCCAGCCUUUUUACUAGUGUUGGUCUCACAAGGACCUCUCCUUAGCAAAACACUAUUCAGUACUAGCUCUGGUUCUUCCGUUUAUCAAAGAGAAAGGAAAAAAGAAGGAUCUGGUCCUGAUUUAAAAUAUUUAAGGAAAAGAUUUCUCUCACCGAAGAACUCUUUAUAGUAUCAGAGAAAAACAGAGAAGCCACAAACCUGGGAGCUCAUUUCCAGUCUAAAUUUAUCUUGCUCAAAGGUACACAUUUUUAAAUAGGGUGAAUUGUGCAAAGGCUCAGGCUGUGCUGGCAGCUUUCGGAUUGAGCUUUGCACAGCUGGAGUUCUUUUUCACUGUGGAUGCUGGGACAUGGGACAGUGCCAGGAAGAGCCUGGGACAGCUGGUUUGGAGAAGGGUACACUGGGGAUGCAGGCGCACAGGCUCAGAUGCAAGGAUGGUAAGGGGUUGCAGGCUUGGUUUAAGGAUGGAGACAGAUUGUAGCAGGCAGGUCUUGAAGCUCUAUACCUGUCUAAGCAUGAACAGGAUCUGGCCUUUGUUUUCUUGCCUGGUCUUUUUGCCCAUGAAAGCAUUGUAAAGGACACCUGCCCACUGGGACAGACAUGCAAGUCUCCAGCACCAGGCAUUUCCAUUUCGUUGUAAUUUUUCAGCCAGCUUGCAAGAGCAGUUUUUCAAAUGAGCUUUAUACACCAGCAGUCAGCUUAAAAUGAGGUUUUUUCUUAUUUUCAAAACCAAGUACUUUAAAUGAGAGCUUUAAAUUAUUCUAGCCCAGUAAAUAUUUCCAUGCAAGGUCUGUACCUAAUAGUACCUCAUAACCAGCUCUUGUUUCUUCUCAGCUCUGGGAUCCUCCUUGAAGUGUUACUCUGUCUUGCCAGAUUAGAGAUGUGCACUGAGUGUUUUCACAGAAGCAUAAUUCAUCCUCGGUUUCCUU